CAUAUCAUAUUAAUCCAUAACUCAUCUAACUAUAACAGAAUUAGACUUGAUUGUUCAGAAUCAUAUGUUAUCACAAGCCUGAGUAUCUAAAUAUGUUUUUUAUUCAUUAUAUUAAUGU
rfam:Populus trichocarpa scaffold_14_contig_111, whole genome shotgun sequence.